GGCCAUCCAUGGGGCAAUGGAGGAUGGAGGGUGUGGGUGCAGGUGGGAUAAGAGGGUAGAUGAGGCAUGGGACUCUGAAGUUCCUUUCUGAUUGCUUCAAUCAUCUCAGUGGAAGUGGAGGCAAGGAAUCAGGUGAGAAUGACGAGGAGGGGAGAUGGGCUGAGCAGAGAGGUGUGAGGAGCUCGUUCAGACUGGGAGGAAGACUGCUGAUGUAAGUUCCAGAGUUCACGGCAGACUGGUGGGAGUGGGAGUGAGUUUGGGGAGCCUCCUUUUCACCUUGAAAAGAGAUGUGGUCUGGGAGUGAGGGCUCCUUCAGCCCUCACAUCAUCAGGACCACGUCUUGAUGGUGCACUAACAGGAGUGUGUGCUCUUCUCUGGGUGGUGUGUGUUUUCACAGGGGCUCUUUGGAGAUAAUGUGCCAACUUCCCACAGCAGGCAGUGUCUCUCUGGUGUUCUGGAAAGCCCCCAGUUCUCACUAAGUGAUGUGAACUUAACCAGGGUUUAACCAAGACCCUGUGGAAGGGGGCCUGAGGAGCCCACUCCUUUAGCCAGUGGGAGGGCUCAGAGCACUCAGUGCAGGGCGAGGCCAGUGCAGGGGCACCUGUCAGGGUGCUGCUUUAGACCCAGCCAACACUUGGGCUUUGUGUUUCUCUCACAAUUCCCAGCAACCAUGCAUGUUGGUUUGUUUACCUUGGGAAACAGCAACAACUGCCAGCAAACCCAGUGCCAUUCCCUUCCAGGUGUAUUGCUAUGUCGGCUGGUGGAGGAACUGAGAAGCCACCCAGCUGCCAGCACUGCGGCCCAAGGGCCCACAACCCUCUUGGGUUGUGCCUCCUCAUGCCUGUAGGGUCAUGCAGGAAGGGGCUAGAAAAGCAAAUGGCACCAACUGGCACUGAGGUUCCCAGGCCCCCAGGAUCAGCCCAUGGCCUUCUGCCCUGAACAGACUAGCCCUACAGUUCUUUGACCAUAAUGCUGGUAGGAUGAUGGAACAAAUUGAUUUCAGCAGUGCUGGGGUUGAAGGGAACAAUGGUCCCAUGGGCCCCUUAAAAAGCUGGCUUAGAGGCUCUGCUUUCUUUCCCAAGCUCGGCAGGCUCACUGCUCGCCAUUCAUUCCAGGAUGGGUCUGUGCCCAAGUCACAUUUGGACUCUGGCCCAGGGAUUGUGAAGUCAGAGUUGUGCUUCAUCUUGAACCUCAGCCUGUUUGCCAGGAGGAUGAUUUGCAGUGACUGAAGCUACGGAGACGCCUUCAUUGAACAGCUCUGUUGUAGACAAAGAGCAGGCCAAGUAAAGCUUUCCCACUGGCUUCCAGCAGAAGUCUGCAUUUUAGACCAUCUCUAACGGCGUCGGUGAUGAACUCAACAUUACAGCAAGCCAGAGGACUGUGAGCUAUCUGUACCCCACUCUGGACUUUGCUGUGGCUGCUCAUCCCUGUGCAACAUGCUUCCACCUCAGUUUACAAAACGCCAGGAAGUGAAGCAAUACAGUCUACAAAAAGCAAAACCAAAACAAACAAACAAACAAAAAACACUUUUUUUUUUUAAACCUUCUGUUAAUAGAGUCAAACUGAACAGGCUAUUUCUGAGCAGUGAUAAAGUCCAAGGCCAAUCUUUUUUGUUGGUCCAAUUUAAGCUGGUUACACUGAGACCUCCAUCCAUUUAAAUGAUGAAGAGCUUGUUAUUAGCACUAACCUUUCAACUGUGGGGGGUCUGCAAGCCUUUGGCUGGUGAGACCCAGGGAAUGGGUAUCCCUGGUUCUUUCAUGAAGAAAGUGUAAUUGAAUUUCUGUCAGGCUCAAUGAGAUUUAUCACCUGCCCAGCAAACAGAAACUAUUUUUGAGCUCUGAAGGGGCUUCAGAACAGUUUAAUGACCUCAGCAGGGUGGGGAGGUGAGCCAUUAAGGCUGACAGCAAGUCCACGGUGAUGAAGGGGCAUCUGGGAACAAGGGCCAGGAUGCUCGCUGGGCAGCUAGGCUGGUGUUGCAGUGCAGAAAUAGGAUCAGAAACUUUGGGACUUGAAGUGCAUUUCACCAACAGCUAGAGCAUUUGCUGCAAAUAUCAGAGUGACCCUCAGGCCCUGGGCACGGUUGUUUCCACCUUCACGUGCAUCUAGCUUUCCUCUCUGCCAAGUGUUGUCAAGGCUGACAAACUUGAUGGGUCGGAGUCAGUUGUAUCCUGGACCUGGGCAGUUUGGGUUUUUGCUGUUUCUUUUCCAGAAUCCCUUACACAUUAUUUGAAUUCAUAUUUGAAAUUUCUGAACAUAUUUGAAAUUUCGUACAUGUAGAGCUAAGAAGGUGCCUCAUGCUUUCAUGUUGUUGUUCCGCCAUCCCCACCCCCAGCCCCGGCUCAGCAGCAUGGAGGUGGGAGUACUAAAUGGCGGUACUGAUCGGCUAACCAGUAGACUAGGAUUUGCCAUAUAAGCAAAUCUGUCUAAUCAAGAUUAUAAUUUCAAGUUAUAUUUUCUUCAGCAUCCUGAAAAAUAACUUCCACAGAACUGUUUGGCCAAAGCCUCAAGGAGAAUCUGUAUAUGGAUCAUGGGCAUAAUUUAUAUUUGAGUCAAUUUUUACUCAAAAUGACAAAUUAUCCAUUAUUCUCUCGGAUAUAUCUCAAUGCUGUGAAUUAGUCUGAUGGUGACACUUCUUCUGGCAAGAUUCCUAGAAAAAGCUUUCUAUGAAAAAUCUCAUAAACCAUUCUCUGCUUGCUCCGAUGGCCCCUAAUUUAGGAAAUUUCAUAUCUCAGAAAAGUGCAUGAGUCUGAAGGUUGGGGAAGAUGAGGAAAGAAAGGCAAAGCAACAGGUAUUCUUCUCCUUCCUUCUCUGAUGAUCUCGGACCUGAAAUCAAGUUGGAUCUGUCGUCACAAUAAUCUCAUGAAGGUACCGUGAUUAAUUUAACGUAGCUCUUUUGCAGAACAUGGUGGGUAAGUCAGAAACAGUCUGAACUCUUUGCGAGGCUCAUUAAGGCUUGUUGCAUGUGUCUCUAGUCUGUUUCCAAGUUUCCUGAUCCCAUGGGACCUGCCUCCUGGGGACUCAGACAUGACUGUGAAGAGGCACCAGAGCUCCAAGAGGACUGUCCUCAGUUGAAAACUCUUGAGGCCCUUAUACUUGAUUUUGUCACUCAGCUUUUUGUUGCUGACCAUCCAUACUGGGACAGUCACACCUAAUGACUUUUUCUCUUGCCUAAAGACACAGAAGCAGAGUGCAUGUGCCUCAGAACACUACUUCUCUGAGCUGUGCUUGAAUAAAGCUUCUAUGAUUAGAUGAGAAACAUGAAGACACUACUCCUUUCUUGGAGAUUCACAAUGGGCUCUGAUUUUUUUUUCCUUCCAGUAAAAAUCAAUUUAAUUUUUAGUCAUUGUCUCCCAGAGCAUAUUUGACCAAGAGCUCUGUUGGUGGGUGAGUAUAUAAAACUUUAAAAAUCUCAGGGAAUGAACUUUGGGAAACUUUGGAUGAAGGUUGUAGUUUCAGCUGCUAUCUCUUACAUGUGUUCCAAUUAUUAAACUCCCUAGUGAAAGAACAGAUCCAAAAAGCCAAAAUUCUAGGUGUGCUGGAGUAUGGGGAGCAGGGGAUGAGGUCAGAUACUGUUCUCAACGUGAAAUGUAAGGAUUCCCACAGAAAAACCAGAAUCUUGAAUACAAAUCAAGCAGAGAUUUAUACUGAUGCCAGAACUGUUUUUAAAAACCAAGUGGAAUUUUGCCAAAUAAGGUUCUAAGCUUUGGGUAGGUUUCCUUAGAAACUAUUCUGAAUACGUUAUUAACAUCCUUUGGAUUCAUGCAGUGGAAACACAAGUGUGCAGUCUGGCUCUCCUUGGAACCCCUCUUCCAGGUGAAACUGCCUCUGAAGUAGGGGAGCUCCAUCAUGGAAACACCAUGGACAUAGAUGAGGACAUCACAACAAGGUCACGUGUGCUCACACCUGACCAGUCCAACUCCUCUCUUCACAGACAGCACAUCCUGAUAGUGGAGAGAAGAUAAACCUACAGUUCUUUCUGCCUGUCCCUUGUCUUCUGCAUUUGGGGCUGUGUGAACCACUCAUAAAGGUCUCAGCACCAGGGAAACCAGAAGGUCAGUGUCCCCCCCACCCCCACCCACUGAGCAGUAACUGAGGCCAACUGUUGGUCUAGGAGCUCAUUAUUUGCUGCAGGAAAUGCCUUGUGUUGACCUAACAUUUAGCCAGAGCAUCAUUCCCCCUUCUACCCUCCUGUAUUUUACACAUGAUGCUUCCUUUUCAGUGGCAAACUGUCAGGGUGCUUCUUGUUAAAAGUCACAUCAAACCCUCUGGCUGUCUCAAGUUUUUUGACAAUUUCUUCAAUCUAUUCCAACAAUUUCUGCAAAUUAGAGGAAAAAUAUCUCCCACUCUUCUGCCUUUUAUUUGUCCAAACUGUUCUAUUUAAAAAUCUCCUCUUUUCCCAAAUUAAUGACCAAAAAGAAAAAUGUUGCUAUUCUCCACUUUGAUAAUUCUGGACCAAUUGGAGCAAAACAGCUAUAAGUUGUUAACAGUCUCAGGCGUUACUCAAAGGUACAAGGAUUCAAAGAUAUACAAGAAUUAGGAAAGAAGAGAUCCUUCAAAUGUUAUAAUUUAUUUCAGGUUCAGAAAUACAGCUUCACAUUUUCACAAUAGGUACAUGUGACCUUCAGGAAUGACACAGACUUUAGAAAUUUGCUUCAAAAAUUCCAUUCAGAGUCCAUAUAUCAGCAGUAAGAAAUCCUGAAAGUGCCAAGACGACAGUGGAAAGUACUCUGGCUCAUGUUAAUUAAAGAAUCAACAGAAAAGAAUCGAUUUGUUUUUGUAUACUUUGUAAAAAAAAACAAAAAGAGGAAUUUGAUUCAGAAAAGGGAGAGAGAAUGAACAUAGAUAAGCACAACAAAGGCUGUACACGUGAAAUAAAAUGCAAAUCAAGUUAACAGGGGUAGGAUUUCUGGUUGGGAGAAAUAAUUCUUACAGACUGGCAGCAGUCAAUGCAAGAGGGCAGGGUAAUUUGGGUCCUAAUUUUACAAACAUUACAUAAUGAGCAAAGUUGAAGGAAUUUAAGGGUAAAGAUUAAACAGAAAUCGACACCUUGAGCUGAGUCAUGUAUGAAUCCUCCACCAGAGUGAAGUCUCACCAACACACCAGUGUGGACAGGUCUGAAGACAAUAAGGGGCUCCUCCUUGCAUUUCCACUCUUGCUCCCUCAUGUAUAUUCUUGCACAUAUCCACAAGCACACGCGCGCGCAUACAUACACACACACACACACACACACAGAGUGCAAGGCAUAUCUAGCGCACUUCAAAAAUAGUCUUAAAGUUUCACACGCAGAGCACCACAUAAUUGUAAGCAUACCAGCUAGACAGAGGACUAAGAUCAUCCAGGAGAAUGUUUGAGCUCUUUGGAAAGGACUGGGUGAUCUGGUGAACUAUCUGUUGCUUCUCUAAAGUCACCCGCCUCAUUCCCACCAAGCUGAGCUCACAGCUGGCAAUCCUCUCAGUGGAACAAUACAAAACUCAGGGCACGAGACUCGUCUAUUAUUUUCUUUCAGUGAAUUCAGCUGAGAGACCUACUUUUUAGACUUCAUUCUUAAUCGUAAGGAGAUUCCAGUCAAUUUUAAAUAAUUACACCAUUUGCCAAAGGUAAGAUGUUUACCUGGAAAAGUAGAGAACCUACUUCCAAGGAAUUAAGUAACUUCUCCCCCCAUUUUUUGCAAAUUUUACUUAGAGAAAUCCACGACUUUUAUUAUGUUGCUGAAUAUCUGUUUUUUUUUAAUACUUAGUGUAUAAGAAAACAACUGUAUAGCAUAACUUUACUUUUUAAGAUUCAGCUCAGCAAUCUGGAAUUAACUUGUAAUUUUACCUAGAGAUCUAAAAGGAAGGUUUCCAGAUCCUACUUAUCAAACUACAUGGUUUAAGGUCAUUUCUUCUUUGACAGCAGUGCUGUGGGUUUUUGUAUACCUGCCUGGACUUGUUGUCUGCCUUACUGUGAGCUCUGGGCCUCUCAGAAUAAAUGCAAUCCGCAGUCAGGAGAUUAGGCAGACAGCAAACUAGUGUCACCCCAUGUAAUGGCAGAUCCCCCAAACACCUCUUGGAUUAGCACAAUUUAAAAAAUAUAUUCCUACGCACACAUACUGAGCACGUGGAUAUAGAUAUUUACACCCGUACGUAUGCACAUAUGUACAACACACAGAACAAUCACUUUCAUGCUUGUGGCACUUUGACGAGUGCUUUUAAAUCUACUUAUUCAAGGGGACACAAAAUACAUGUACUCACAGAAAUUUACUCUGCAUAUAUUGUAUAUGUAGAGACACAUGCAUAGAAAAUGUGUUUGUACACAGAAACAUUAACAUUUAUCACAAACUGGUGUUAGGUCCCAUUUCAUAUUUAAGAAUUAUGGCUACAGUCUAUACUAAAUAGUCAUAAGUCAAUCUGUGUGACUACUUUUAAAUUCUAAAUCCAGAAGGCUUAUAAUUAUAUCACAGGAACUGGUUUCCUUAUGUUUGGGGGUAGAAUGACUUUGCAUCUGAACAAAUAGCAAAUUUGCUAAUAAAUCGACCCUACUGCUCUUUUAUGUUAUGAAACACAGCUAAAAGCAAUAUUCAGAAGGGUAUUAUUCGUAGAUGAUUUUUGGAAAUGUAAUAUACCUGGUCUAAAUCAAUACUAUCUUAAUAAUCUGUCCACAAUUGAGUAAAUGGUUAUUCCAAAUGGUCAAUGUGCAUGCAAGAUUUAGCACGUGACAAUAAAACUAGAUGUACUUAUGAAAUAAA